CAUGCUGACCUCCCUCCUGCCCCAG
rnacentral:miRNA from 1 species